AGAGAAAGAGAGCUUGGAUUCCUGCUGAUUCCUCUGAGAGAUCCAGGUAUGAAAGCCCUUCUGAUUUGGGGGCUCUUGCUCUUUGGUCAACUGUUCACACAGACUUUGGCCCAGACAGAGUCUUCCCAAUCACAAGAAUCAAUAGUAAGCCAAUUCGUACAAAACUUAUCAGAAGGAUUUGAAAAAAUAUUGAAAAAUGUCCUUGAUGUCAUUAGCAAUGCGCUAUCACAAAUUAAAAACAUGGCUGACUCAAGGGAAAGUGAUCAAACAGAAACUUCAACUGCAGCUACAACAGCAGCCCCAGUAGACACAACAGCAGCUCCAACAGAGGCAACGACAGCAGCCCCAACAGCAGCUACAACAGCGGCUCCAACAGAGGCAACGACUGCAGCCCCAGUAGACACAACAGCGGCUCCAACAGAGGCAACGACUGCAGCCCCAACAGAAGCUACAACAGCGGCUCCAACAGAGGCAACGACAGCAGCCCCAACAGAAGCUACAACAGCGGCUCCAACAGAGGCAACGACAGCAGCCCCAACAGCAGCUACAACAGCGGCUCCAACAGAGGCAACGACUGCAGCCACAACAGCAGCUACAACAGCGGCUCCAACAGAGGCAACGACAGCAGCCCCAACAGCAGCUACAACAGCGGCUCCAACAGAGGCAACGACUGCAGCCACAACAGCAGCUACAACAGCGGCUCCAACAGAGGCAACGACUGCAGCCACAACAGCAGCUACUACAGCGGCUCCAAUAAGUGCAACGACUGCAGCCCCAACAGCAGCUACAACAGCGGCUCCAACAGAGGCAACGACUGCAGCCACAACAGCAGCUACAACAGCGGCUCCAACAGAGGCAACGACUGCAGCCACAACAGCAGCUACAACAGCGGCUCCAACAGAGGCAACGACUGCAGCCACAACAGCAGCUACAACAGCGGCUCCAACAGAGGGAACGACUGCAGCCCCAACAGCAGCUACAACAGCGGCUCCAACAGAGGCAACGACUGCAGCCACAACAGCAGCUACUACAGCGGCUCCAAUAAGUGCAACGACUGCAGCCCCAACAGCAGCUACAACAGCGGCUCCAAUAAGUGCAACGACUGCAGCCCCAACAGCAGCUACAACAGCGGCUCCAAUAAGUGCAACGACUGCAGCCCCAACAGCAGCCCCGACGUUAUCUCCCUAUUCAAAACCACUCAUAGAUUUUGCUAUUAAUAUAUACAAAGUCCUAAAGAAAGUGAAUACUCCACAUAAUAUCCAAAUGAUUUUCAAACAAAUCUUGAUGAACCCACCAAAGCUACUUAGAUACUCACUAAACUCUCUGAGGAAAGUGGUGCAUCCUGCUUGGAUAAAUAAUUCCCAACUCGAUGUCCUUGAAGUUACCUUUCAUCAAGGUGUGAUUAAACGUCGGGGAUUUAUGUCUAUGACCACAGUUUUACUAAUGAACUUUAAAACACCCCUUGCUGGAACAUUUACUGUUGCUGCACACCUCAACUCCAAAUUUGAAAUCAGAUCUGCAAUGGGAAAGAAUAGAAAGCCUUGCCUUCACAUUAAACAUUAUCACACUAACCUCAAAACUUUGAAUGUUAACUUCCAGAAAUUACCACACAACAAAAAGGCUCAUGUCCAAAUAAUAAGUACCUUGAAAAAGAAUAUUCGUCCUGUGAUGAAUGAAGUACUCUACCGUCUGAUGACCACUGUCUUACCCUCUGUGGAUCCUACUUUGUCAAACUACAUAAGCUGGUACCUAUACAAGGGUCUUAAGAUUCCUGUGUAAAUCUUCAAUGAAGGAAUGACAAGUUUUCCCCUUCAAAACAGGUAUCUUCCAGGCUUUCUUUUCCUGGAUAUGAGCCUACUUCCCAUUAUGAAAAAUUUCUCUGGAAACUGUGUUUCUUCCUCCUGAUUUCUCUUACAAUAAACUCCCUACUAUCUCAGCA
rnacentral:lncRNA from 1 species